rnacentral:rRNA from 1 species
UACGUAGGGCGCAAGCGUUGUCCGGAAUUAUUGGGCGUAAAGAGCUCGUAGGCGGUUUGUCGCGUCUGCUGUGAAAUCCCGAGGCUCAACCUCGGGCUUGCAGUGGGUACGGGCAGACUAGAGUGCGGUAGGGGAGACUGGAAUUCCUGGUGUAGCGGUGGAAUGCGCAGAUAUCAGGAGGAACACCGAUGGCGAAGGCAGGUCUCUGGGCAACUACUGACACUGAGGCACGAAAGCUAGGGGAGCAAACAGG